AUUGAACGCUGGCGGCAGGCCUAACACAUGCAAGUCGAGCGAGCGGCGGACGGGUGAGUAAUGUAUGGGGAUCUGCCUGAUGGAGGGGGAUAACUACUGGAAACGGUAGCUAAUACCGCAUACGACCAGAUGAACCCAUGGGGCAUUAGCUGGUGGGUAAGGUAACGGCUGACCUAGGCGACGAUGCCUAGCUGGUCUGAGAGGGUGAUCAGCCACACUGGGACUGAGACACGGCCCAGACUCCUACGGGAGGCAGCAGUGGGGAAUAUUGCACAAUGGGCGCAAGCCUGAUGCAGCCAUGCCGCGUGUAUGAAGAAGGCCUUCGGGUUGUAAAGUACUUUCAGUCGGGAAGCGUUACCGACAGAAGAAGCACCGGCUAACUCCGUGCCAGCAGCCGCGGUAAUUC
rnacentral:rRNA from 1 species